GGAUGCACAAGCUGUGUUUGUCUCGCUAUUGCCAAGGCUCCAAUGUUGUUCACUUCUUAUAAAAUGCUUUUCCAAAGCUACUGUGUGUAAUGCUUCAAUGACAAAGGAAGAAUUACUUAACUCUUUUUCAACAAUGCAAAUGGCUUUUAGAACUUCAAAUCGUGGUAACUCUUCCUCAUUGUGAUCAACCCACAACACAAAACCAGUUUUGUAUGUUGUACCGUGAAUAGAAAUCCAUUUUGGUAUAAAAAAUUACAGAAUAUGAUGGUUGUUGAUCACCUCAAUAUCAUUGUGGGCAUAUGGAUCAUAAAGUGCAUUAUUGGGAUGAUAGAACAUCUAGGAUAGAGCCUGCAAAACUCCUGGUGAUGGUCAUUGAUGAGUGUCUGCAAGUAUGCUACUUGAUCUUUGGACAACGCUGGUGAAAAGCAAAGGAAUAUUAUUUCCAGCAUUUGUAGGAAAAGAAUCCAAUGAGCAUCUUACCGUGGAACCAAAUCCCUAAUUAACAAUGACUGUUAUCAUUUGAUGAAAACUUCUGCUCACAAAUCAGUGUUGGCUUGUUCUUGUUGUUAUGAUAUCCAAAGUCAUAACUGGAAAUGCGACCAUUUAGCUCUUCCAAGCUUUCAAAGAAACUGUGCUAUUCUUCUAACAAAACUACUGGAGAAAAAAUCAUCAAGAGGAAGAGAUGUCAUAGAGU